GUCUGAGGCAAGGUCUUUUUUAAAAGGCCUUGGACGACGUAUAGUUAUCAGAGGUUAUGACCGCCGCUCCGGUUCGUACCUCGCUCAAAGGAUAUCACUUGCUAUACAACGCGGUAAUGCUGCGAGUAUAAUGGGUACCUUUGGGCCAGGUACGAUUCGGGGUGGCCUUUUUGAGUGAUUUUUGACGAGGCAUAUUGCUGAUAACAUUUGUUAUAUAGGGUGUUGCAAAAAGGGUAUAUCAAGCCGAC